UACGGAAGGGGCUAGCGUUGUUCGGAAUUACUGGGCGUAAAGAGCGCGUAGGCGGCUUACCAAGUUGGGGGUGAAAUCCCGGAGCUCAACUCCGGAACUGCCUUCAAAACUGGAAGGCUCGAGUCCGGAAGAGGGGCGUGGAAUUCCCAGUGUAGAGGUGAAAUUCGUAGAUAUUGGGAAGAACACCGGUGGCGAAGGGGGCGCCCAGGUCCGGUACGGACGCUGAGGCGCAAAGGCGGGGGAGCAAACAGG
rnacentral:rRNA from 1 species